UGGGGAAUUUUGGACAAUGGGGGCAACCCUGAUCCAGCCAUGCCGCGUGCGGGAAGAAGGCCUUCGGGUUGUAAACCGCUUUCGGACGGAAAGAAAUCGCAUGGGUUAAUACCCUGUGUGGAUGACGGUACCGUAAGAAGAAGCACCGGCUAACUACGUGCCAGCAGCCGCGGUAAUACGUAGGGUGCGAGCGUUAAUCGGAAUUACUGGGCGUAAAGCGUGCGCAGGCGGAUGUUUAAGCAAGAUGUGAAAUCCCCGGGCUUAACCUGGGAAUGGCAUUUUGAACUGGACGUCUAGAGUGCGGCAGAGGGAGGUGGAAUUCCACGUGUAGCAGUGAAAUGCGUAGAGAUGUGGAGGAACACCGAUGGCGAAGGCAGCCUCCUGGGCUGACACUGACGCUCAUGCACGAAAGCGUGGGGAGCAAACAGG
rnacentral:rRNA from 1 species